rnacentral:sRNA from 1 species
UCAGCCCGAGGCCGCCCCCUCGGUCACUCUGUUCCCGCUGUCCUCUGAGGAGCCCCAAGCCAACAAGGCCACACUGGUGUGUCUCAUGAAUGACUUCUAUCCGGGAAGCUUGACGGUGACCUGGAAGGCAGAUGGUAACCCCGUCACCCAGGGCGUGGAGAUGAACACGCCCUCCAAACAGAGCAACAGCAAAUGGAGUCUUGCUCUGUCACCCAGGCUGGAGUGCAAUGGUGCAAUCUCAGGUCACCGUAACCUCCACCUCCCAGGUUCAACUGAUUCUCCUGCCUCAGCCUUCUGAGUAGCUGAGAUUACAGACAGUUUCACCUUUGUCACCCAGGAUGGAGUGCAACGGUGCGAUCUUGGCUCAGUGUGCAACUUCCACCUCCUGGAUUCAAGUGAUUCUCCUGCCUCAGCCUCCUGAGUAGCUGGGAUUACAGGGGGAAGGAGGCACCCUGUUAUGAAUCUGAUAUUUAUGAGGCUGUGGCUGUUGCAACAUCAGAAUCCACUACUGUAGAGCCUGGCAAGCUGGAUGUGGGAGCCACGGAGGGCCAAGACCUGCAGCACAUCAGCAACCAAAAGACGCCCACAGGCCCGAGUAUGUGUUGUUCUCUUUAACACCGUAUAUAUUCUAAGACCACUCCCUUGCUGAUGACAAAUCUAAGUGAUGGGUUGUGGGGGGCUCUCUUGCCUGCUUUUGUCUGGAGAACAUGCCUGGCUUCAGGUUCCUGAUAGGAGUGAGGACUUGGAG